UACGUAGGGUGCAAGCGUUGUCCGGAAUCAUUGGGCGUAAAGCGCGCGUAGGCGGUCAGGUAAGUCCGGUGUGAAAGUCAAAGGCUCAACCUUUGAAUGCCGCUGGAUACUGCCUGACUUGAGUCCGGAAGGGGCGAGUGGAAUUCCUGGUGUAGCGGUGAAAUGCGCAGAUAUCAGGAGGAACACCAAUGGCGAAGGCAGCUCGCUGGAACGGUACUGACGCUGAGGCGCGAAAGCGUGGGGAGCGAACAGG
rnacentral:rRNA from 1 species